UCUCGAUAGCGUAAACGCUUAUUUAAAUGUGUAUGGAGUUGGAACGUUUGCGUACGUUUGCCGCUAGGGGCGCUGUUCCAACUGCAUAUAAAUUCGAGUUAUCUUUUAUGCUAUCGA
rnacentral:pre_miRNA from 9 species